rnacentral:rRNA from 1 species
AGAGUUUGAUCAUGGCUCAGGACGAACGCUGGCGGCGUGCCUAAUACAUGCAAGUGGAACGCAAGGGAACACACCGUGCUUGCACAUCGUGUUUUCUUGAGUCGCGAACGGGUGAGUAACGCGUAGGUAACCUGCCUUUUAGCGGGGGAUAACUAUUGGAAACGAUAGCUAAUACCGCAUAAGAGAGUUUAACACAUGUUAGACGCUUGAAAGAUGCAAGAGCAUCACUAGGAGAUGGACCUGCGUUGUAUUAGCUAGUAGGUAGGGUAAAGGCCUACCUAGGCGACGAUACAUAGCCGACCCGAGAGGGUGACCGGCCACACUGGGACUGAGACACGGCCCAGACUCCUACGGGAGGCAGCAGUAGGGAAUCUUCGGCAAUGGGGGGAACCCUGACCGAGCAACGCCGCGUGAGUGAAGAAGGUUUUCGGAUCGUAAAGCUCUGUUGUCAGAGACGAACGUGUGUGAGAGUGGAAAGUUCACACAGUGGCGGUAACUGACCAGAAAGGGACGGCUAACUACGUGCCAGCAGCCGCGGUAAUACGUAGGUCCCGAGCGUUGUCCGGAUUUAUUGGGCGUAAAGCGAGCGCAGGCGGUUUUGUAAGUCUGAAGUCAAAGGCAGUGGCUUAACCAUUGUGUGCUUUGGAAACUGCAGGACUUGAGUGCAGAAGGGGAGAGUGGAAUUCCAUGUGCAGCGGUGAAAUGCGUAGAUAUAUGGAGGAACACCGGUGGCGAAAGCGGCUCUCUGGUCUGUAACUGACGCUGAGGCUCGAAAGCGUGGGUAGCGAACAGGAUUAGAUACCCUGGUAGUCCACGCCGUAAACGCUGAGUGCUAGGUGUUAGGCCCUUUCCGGGGCUUAGUGCCGGAGCU